rnacentral:rRNA from 1 species
UACGGGGGGGGCAAGCGUUGUUCGGAAUUACUGGGCGUAAAGGGCUCGUAGGCGGCCAACUAAGUCGGAUGUGAAAUCCCCAGGCUUAACCUGGGAACUGCGUCCGAUACUGGCAGGCUUGAAUCCGGGAGAGGGAUGCGGAAUUCCUGGUGUAGCGGUGAAAUGCGCAGAUAUCAGGAGGAACACCGGUGGCGAAGGCGGUUCUCUGGGAAUAUCCUGACGCUGAGGAGCGAAAGUGUGGGGAGCGAACAGG